rnacentral:lncRNA from 1 species
AUUUCUUUCAUAAUUGCCUCUCCCACUUAAUGAAAUUUGAAUCCCCAGACACACUGAAUAUCUGUUUAUGUCCUGCAGCCCUUUGGAGGACCGCAAACCAUUAUUAUUGUAUCUAUGAAGAUUUUUACUUACCUCUGUGGAACCAAUUUACAUCUCCUGUUGAAAAUGCAUAUGUACAAGGAAUUAUUUUUGAAAUAAAAAAGUAGAUUUUAAUGUUUCUCAUCACAGAAUCUCAGUCUACAUGGAGAUAUAAUUGGAAAUGUGCUAUUUGUCUAUGGCCCCAGAAGGAAAGACAGAAGCUUACGAUCUCCUAGAGGGUGUGGAUGCAAAUGACCAACACAUAUGCACAUACCUGACCUUGUAU